rnacentral:rRNA from 1 species
GGCCGACCGGACUCUGUCCGACCCGCGGUGAACCAUGAUAACUUCACGAAUCGCAUGGCCUUGCGCCGGCGAUGUUUCAUUCAAAUUUCUGCCCUAUCAACUUUCGAUGGUAGGAUARAGGCCU